GCCUGGGUGGCUCAGUCGGUUGAGCAUCUGACUUUGGCUCAGGUCAUUAUCUUGCUCGGUCUGUGGGUUUGAGCCCCAGGUU
rnacentral:tRNA from 1 species